rnacentral:rRNA from 1 species
GACGAACCGUCCAAACGUUAUUCGGAAUCACUGGGCUUAAAGGGUGCGUAGGCGGUCCGGGAAGUUGGGUGUGAAAGCCCUCGGCUCAACCGAGGAAUUGCGCCCAAAACUGCCGGGCUUGGGGGAGACAUAGGUGAGCGGAACCUAGGGUGGAGCGGUGAAAUGCGUUGAGAUCCUAGGGAACACCAGUAGCGAAAGCGGCUCACUGGGUCUCUUCUGACGCUGAGUGCACGAAAGCUAGGGGAGCGAAGAGGAUUAGAUACCCUCGUAGUCCUAGCCGUAAACAAUGAGCACUGAUUUGGAGGGUCCUCCAUAGCCUUCCAGAUGUAGCGAAAGUGUUAAGUGCUCCGCCUGGGGAGUAUGGUCGCAAGGCUGAA